UACAGAGGGUGCAAACGUUGCUCGGAAUUACUGGGCGUAAAGCGCGUGUAGGUGGAUUGGUGUGUCAGAUGUGAAAUCCCUGGGCUCAACCCAGGAACUGCACCUGAAACUACCAGUCUUGAGUGGUGGAGAGGGAAGUGGAAUUCCUGGUGUAGAGGUGAAAUUCGUAGAUAUCAGGAGGAACACCAGUGGCGAAGGCGGCUUCCUGGACACCAACUGACGCUGAGACGCGAAAGCGUGGGGAGCAAACAGG
rnacentral:rRNA from 1 species